rnacentral:piRNA from 1 species
UGCGGCACUGGAGAAAGCACUUCCCGC